UACGGAGGGUGCAAGCGUUAUCCGGAUUCACUGGGUUUAAAGGGUGCGUAGGAGGGCAGGUAAGUCAGUGGUGAAAUCCCCGAGCUUAACUUGGGAACUGCCGUUGAUACUAUCUGUCUUGAAUAUCGUGGAGGUGAGCGGAAUAUGUCAUGUAGCGGUGAAAUGCUUAGAUAUGACAUAGAACACCAAUUGCGAAGGCAGCUCGCUACACGAAAUAUUGACUCUGAGGCACGAAAGCGUGGGGAUCAAACAGG
rnacentral:rRNA from 1 species